ensembl:lncRNA
CCAAACCCCCACCCCUAAAAGGUCCAGGGGGUCUGGGCACCCCAAAAUCCUCCCCGAUCCGCCCUGUCCCAGAGUUUGGGUGGGAUUUUGGGGCUGAACCCCAAAUUUGGGGACGCCCCUGGAGGGGAAGGAGGUUGCCCCAAAACCUCCAAAAUUGGGGGCCCUGAAACUCCUGGAUCCCCAAAAUUCCGGAAUUCUUUGGUCCUUCCGCACACCUCCAAAACAUUUGGGAUACCCCCCAAAAUUCCUGGGACUCCCCAAAUUCCUGAGGCCCCCCCAAAUUUCUGAAUCCUCCCAAAUUCCUGAGCCCCCAAAUUCCUGAGCCCCCCCAAAUUUCUGAGUUCCCCAAAUUCCUGAGCCCCCCAAAUUCCUGUGUCCCCCUGGACACCUGGUCCCUCCUAAAUCCCUAAAUCCCCCCAAAUCCCAUCUCCCAAUGGAUCCCAAUGCCCCCAGAUCCCUGUGCCCCCCCCCAAAUCCCAUCUCCCGACGGAUCCCAGCCCCCCAGAUGCCCCCCGGAUGUUGCCCCCCGUACUGGGCACGUAGAUCUCGGCGCGCUGCUCGUCCGGGAGCUCGCUCCAGUUGCGCUUGGCCGUGGCCACCACCGGCUUCUUCACCAGGAACGCGCGCGGCAUGGCCGGGGACGGCGGGUCCUGAUCGAUCCUGAUGGGUUCUGAUGGGUUCUGAUUGAUCCUGAUGGAUCCUGAUGGAUCCUGAUGGAUCCCGAUUGAUCCCAGUGGAUCCCGAUGGAUUCUGAUGGAUCCACUGAUCCCGAUGGAUCCCAAUAGAUCCCAAUGGAUCCCCCACAGGAUCCUCGGUCAGGUUCGAUGCCGGAUCCCCGUUGGGUUUGAUCCCAGGUCCGGAGUGUUUGGUCAAUAUCCGCAGCCAAUCCCAAAUCCUCGUUCAGUUUUGGUGCCGGAUCCCAAAGAUUUGGUCACUGUCAGCACCAAACCCCCGAUCUUUGGUGGGUUUUGAUGGCGGAUCCCGAGGAUUUGAUUGAUUCCAGCUCCCGGUCAGGUUGGUGCUGGAUCCCCGAUCCGCGGGAUCCCGGCACUCCGGAGGAUCCCGGUUCGGGCUCAGAUCCCGGGGGUUGGGGCAGUUCCGGUGCCUGAUCCCGGUCUGGCGUCACCGCCGCGAUCCGCUGUCACCGCUGUCACCGCUGUCACCGCUGUCCCCACCCGCUGUCACACCGGUGCCACCGGCCCCGAGCCGCCCCCUCAGCACCGGGGCCGGCUGUCCCGGGGCUGUCCCGGCUCUGUUAUCCCGGUUCUGGCUCUGUUAUCCCGGUUCUGGCGCUGUUAUCCCGGUUCUGGCGCUGUUAUCCCGACUGUCCCGGUGCUGUCCCAGCUCUGUUAUCCUGGUUGUGCUGUCCCGGUCCCGUCCCAGUCCUGUUCCGGUCCCGGUGGUCCUGUCCCGGUCCUGUCCCAGUCCCGGCGGUGCUGGUGCCGUCCCAGCCGUGCCGUUCCGUUCCGUGCCGUGCCGAGCGGUGCCGGUGCCGGCGGUGCCGCCCCGCCGCGCGUCCCCCGUCCCGCCCCGCGCUGCUGUCCCGGACCGGUUCCGCCGGUCGGGCCGGGCCG